GGAAGGAAAACAAAGGCGGGAUCCAGGGAAACCACAGCAGGAACAUCGGAACUAGAGGAGCCUUAGGGGACAGUCUAGCUUUUUGUCUUUCAACCCUAGCGCUGAACCUUCCACAAAAGCUAGCCAUUAGAGGGAGUGCUGGGCUGAGCAGCAGCAGGAAGGGAACUUAAACUCCUAGCGGGUGAGAUGGGCAGCCACAGCAGACAAGGGCAGGAACACCUAGGCUGAGGGAGCUGCUGCCCAUUUUGCACAAAGAAGUGACUUCUGACAGUGACACCUAUGCUGUGGAGGAUUCCAGAGGGGAAGACCGAAGCAUCCCACAACCAGGACACUUCCCAGAAAGUCCCUUAGGAGACACAGCACUGCUUUGGAGAGAGAUUCUACAGCCCCCAAAGAAUUCUGCAUCUUCCUUCUGAGGCUGGCCUCCCCGCUCAUGGUGACAAUACAGCUGCUGCAGCUCAAUACACUCCUCCCAGGUACUUGAUUCCAGCAAGCAUGGUCUCCAGCAAGGAACACAGAAUGCAGGAGUCCAGUUCCCACCCUGACCUACAGCCAGGAA